UGGAUGGCAUCAUUUGAUGAUUAAAACUGAGGUGGUAAAAGAUGGGCAUGCGUCUGAUUAGUUAGUUGGCAGUGUAACGGACUACCAAGACGAUGAUCAGUAGGGGACCUGAGAGGGUGAUCCCCCACACUGGCACUGAGAUACGGGCCAGACUCCUACGGGAGGCAGCAGUAGGGAAUAUUGGACAAUGGGUGAGAGCCUGAUCCAGCCAUGCCGCGUGCAGGAAGAAGGCGUUAUGCGUUGUAAACUGCUUUUGCCAGGGGAUAAAACGGUUCUGCGGAACUAAUUGAAGGUACCUGGUGAAUAAGCCACGGCUGACUACGUGCCAGCAGCCGCGGUAAUACGUAGGUGGCAAGCGUUGUCCGGAUUUAUUGGGUUUAAAGGGUGCGUAGGCGGCCCUGUAAGUCAGUGCUGAAAUAUCCCGGCUUAACCGGGAGGGUGGCAUUGAUACUGCAGGGCUUGAGUACAGAUGAGGUAGGCGGAAUUGACGGUGUAGCGGUGAAAUGCAUAGAUAUCGUCAAGAACACCGAUAGCGAAGGCAGCUUACCAAGCUGUAACUGACGCUGAGGCACGAAAGUGUGGGGAUCAAACAGGAUUAGAUACCCUGGUAGUCCACACUGUAAACGUUGAUGACUCGAUGUUGGCGAUACACAGCCAGCGUCCAAGAGCAAUCGUUAAGUCAUCCACCUGGGGAGUACGCCGGCAACGG
rnacentral:rRNA from 1 species